UACAGAGGGUGCGAGCGUUAAUCGGAUUUACUGGGCGUAAAGGGCACGUAGGUGGUCGUAUGAGUGUGAUGUGAAAGCCCCGGGCUCAACCUGGGAAGUGCAUCGCAAACGAUACGACUGGAGUACAUGAGAGGGUGGCGGAAUUUCCAGUGUAGCGGUGAAAUGCGUAGAUAUUGGAAGGAACGUCGAUGGCGAAGGCAGCCACCUGGCAUGAUACUGACACUGAGGUGCGAAAGCGUGGGGAGCGAACAGG
rnacentral:rRNA from 1 species